AAAUUCUUUACUAUUUAGUGUGGAAUUCAAAUUCUAUAUUAUAAUGGAUAUUAAAUUGUAAUGGAAAUUAAAUUCUUAUACAUUUUUUCAAACCAAACAAUGGAAAUAAAAAGAAAAUUUAAAUUACUUUCCUCUCCUACAUUCUCUUCUCUCAACCAAACACCACCUUAGAUUCUCCUUAGGGUUCCCACUUCAAUCUUAAAAGUAAACGCUAUCUAGAAUCUUGCCAAAAGUAUAACCUCUAACAGGAAUAUAAAAGACUGCUUUCAACGCAUGUAAAUCAAUUCAUUCCCAAAUACAAUACGUCUCUUUUGAGGUUAAUGCUAAGUUACAUGCAUGUAACUUACAACCCUCUCACAUGAAUAGUGAGUAGUGUAGGAUCCCUCUUUUGAUAUUGAUUUGUUGAACUCAGGUGAAGCCAAAAUGGUUUUAAAUUAAGGGUGUGUUUGGAAUGCAGUAUUAUAUAGUAUUAUAAUACUAUUCAAAUUAAUUUAUUACUUAUAUUUGGAAGUUUUGGAAGUUAAAUUAUAAUACACCACAAUUUGCCAAUUUUUGCCUCAUUGAGCAAUUAAAUAUAAUUUAAUUAUAUUUUGA
rnacentral:lncRNA from 1 species